rnacentral:rRNA from 1 species
AGAGUUUGAUCAUGGCUCAGAACGAACGCUGGCGGCAUGCCUAACACAUGCAAGUCGAACGAGACCUUCGGGUCUAGUGGCGCACGGGUGCGUAACGCGUGGGAAUCUGCCCUUGGGUUCGGAAUAACAGCGAGAAAUUGCUGCUAAUACCGGAUGAUGACGUAAGUCCAAAGAUUUAUCGCCCAAGGAUGAGCCCGCGUAGGAUUAGCUAGUUGGUGAGGUAAAGGCUCACCAAGGCGACGAUCCUUAGCUGGUCUGAGAGGAUGAUCAGCCACACUGGGACUGAGACACGGCCCAGACUCCUACGGGAGGCAGCAGUGGGGAAUAUUGGACAAUGGGCGAAAGCCUGAUCCAGCAAUGCCGCGUGAGUGAUGAAGGCCUUAGGGUUGUAAAGCUCUUUUACCCGAGAUGAUAAUGACAGUAUCGGGAGAAUAAGCUCCGGCUAACUCCGUG